rnacentral:rRNA from 1 species
GACGAACGCUGGCGGCGUGCCUAAUACAUGCAAGUAGAACGCUGAAGGAGGAGCUUGCUUCUCCGGAUGAGUUGCGAACGGGUGAGUAACGCGUAGGUAACCUGCCUGGUAGCGGGGGAUAACUAUUGGAAACGAUAGCUAAUACCGCAUAAGAGUAGAUGUCGCAUGACAUUUGCUUAAAAGGUGCAACUGCACCACUACCAGAUGGACCUGCGUUGUAUUAGCUAGUUGGUGAGGUAACGGCUCACCAAGGCAACGAUACAUAGCCGACCUGAGAGGGUGAUCGGCCACACUGGGACUGAGACACGGCCCAGACUCCUACGGGAGGCAGCAGUAGGGAAUCUUCGGCAAUGGACGGAAGUCUGACCGAGCAACGCCGCGUGAGUGAAGAAGGUUUUCGGAUCGUAAAGCUCUGUUGUAAGAGAAGAACGAGUGUGAGAGUGGAAAGUUCACACUGUGACGGUAUCUUACCAGAAAGGGACGGCUAACUACGCG